rnacentral:rRNA from 1 species
AACGAACGCUGGCGGCAGGCCUAACACAUGCAAGUCGAACGGGAAGCUCUUUCGGGAGCUGACAGUGGCAAACGGGUGAGUAUCGCGUGGGAAUCUACCCAAAAGUUCGGAAUAAUCCGGGGAAACCCGGCCUAAUACCGGAUAUACCCUUCGGGGGAAAGAUUUAUCGCUUUUGGAUGAGCCCGCGUUGGAUUAGUUUGUUGGUGAGGUAAGAGCUCACCAAGGCGACGAUCUAUAGCUGGUCUGAGAGGAUGAUCAGCCACACUGGGACUGAGACACGGCCCAGACUCCUACGGGAGGCAGCAGUGGGGAAUCUUGCACAAUGGGCGCAAGCCUGAUGCAGCCAUGCCGCGUGAGCGAAGAAGGCUUUAGG